GAUGAACGCUGGCGGCGUGCCUAAUACAUGCAAGUCGAGCGAACAGACGAGGAGCUUGCUCCUCUGACGUUAGCAGCGGACGGGUGAGUAACACGUGGAUAACCUACCUAUAAGACUGGGAUAACUUCGGGAAACCGGAGCUAAUACCGGAUAAUAUAUUGAACCGCAUGGUUCAAUAGUGAAAGACGGUUUUGCUGUCACUUAUAGAUGGAUCCGCGCCGCAUUAGCUAGUUGGUAAGGUAACGGCUUACCAAGGCAACGAUGCGUAGCCGACCUGAGAGGGUGAACGGCCACACUGGAACUGAGACACGGUCCAGACUCCUACGGGAGGCAGAAGUAGGGAAUCUUCCGAAAAGGGCGAAAGCCUGACGGAGCAACGCCGCGUUAGUGAUGAAGGUCUUCGGAUCGUAAAACUCUGUUAUUAGGGAAGAACAAAUGUGUAAGUAACUAUGCACGUCUUGACGGUACCUAAUCAGAAAGCCACGGCUAACUACGUG
rnacentral:rRNA from 1 species